CAGCAGUCGCGGCAACACAAGGAAGACAAGUGUUAUUCAUCUUAAAUCGGUUUAAAGUGUACCUAGACGGUAAAUUAGGCCUUAAAUGGAACGUUUUUACUAGAGUUAUAUAUGCAUGAGGAAUAGAGUAUUACCAGAGUAGAGAUGAAAUUUUUUGAUACUGUUAAGACUGGUAAAGGCAAAAGCAAACCUUUAUAUAUUAACUGACGUUGAGGGACGAAGGCUUGGGGAGCAAACAGGAUUAGAUACCCUAAUAGUCCAGGCAGAGAAUUAUGAAUGUCAUAGAAUAGAUAAUAAUAUUUAUCCUAUAAAUGAAAGUGUAAGCAUUCCACCUCAAGAGUAAUGUGGCAACGCAGGAACUGAAAUCAUUAGACCGUUUCUGAUACCAGUAGUGAAGUAUGUCGUUCAAUUUGUUAACCCUCAAAAAACCUUACCACAAUUUGAAUAUAUUUAAUAGAUAUCUAUACUUUUUUAUUUAUAUCUUUAUUUAUACAAGCGUUGCAUUGUUGUCUUCAGUUAAUGUUGUGAGAUUUUGGUUUAGAUUCAUAAAAUUAACGUAAUCCUAUAUUCUAUUUAAAUAUUAAUAGAUUAGUUCACCGCUAUAUUGGAUAUUGAUACCGGGAGUAGACUAGUCGUAUGACCUUUAAUAUUGUGGCUAUGAGACGUGCCACA
rnacentral:rRNA from 1 species